rnacentral:rRNA from 1 species
UACGGAGGGGGCUAGCGUUAUUCGGAAUUACUGGGCGUAAAGCGCACGUAGGCGGCUUUGUAAGUCAGAGGUGAAAGCCUGGAGCUCAACUCCAGAACUGCCUUUGAGACUGCAUCGCUUGAAUCCAGGAGAGGUGAGUGGAAUUCCGAGUGUAGAGGUGAAAUUCGUAGAUAUUCGGAAGAACACCAGUGGCGAAGGCGACUCGCUGGACAGGUAUUGACGCUGAGGUGCGAAAGCGUGGGGAGCAAACAGG